UCUUCGUUUUGAACUUUUGAGAACAUACGGAAAACAAAUCACUUGAUUUAGAUUUGUAACUUUGGGGUUUUGAUCCAAUCAAAACUUCAACCAGGUUAUGUUAUCGUUCUUUUUAAUUCAAUUUCAGAAAAAAAUUUGUAUUGGAAGUCGUGGUGACGAGAUACUGAGGGAUGUGGUGGUACCCCCGUGAAGAAGAAGUCUCUAAUGGAGGUGGUGGUGAUGAGAUACUGACUACCUGAGGUGAAAAAGAAGAGAACCAAAAGCAGGAGCAUGAAUUAACUAAUAAUUGUACAAUGGCGAGUCCAGUUCGUCGUAGUUUGAGAAUACAAGCUCAGUUAACAUGGAAGUCGACAACGAACGACAACAACAAAGAGAUAUCCGAUUGAACAACCACUGUAUUUCAGAAAAGGAAAAACGAGUGGCAAUGACUGAAGCUGAAAAGCAAGAGCUUCUCCAAAAACGACGCCACACUUAUCUUAUGCAGAAAACACGAGAUCGACUUGCAAACUAAGAUGGUCUUGAAGCAUCAACAAGUUCUGGUGAGUGUGGCAUGAGAUGUAUAAUUGUUCUUUGCUGUAGUGCAUUGAACUUAUCUUACAUAAUGUCAGUGGUAUAAUUCUGAAUGGAUAUGAACAAGUUUCCAAUACUACUCAUCUUAUCAAACUCAUUAACAGAAAUAUGAUGUUGUUGGCAACUCUGCUCAAGCAUGAUCAAUGGCCAUAUUCAUAUUAUAGCAAAAGCAAACAUCCGAGAAUUUAUUUUUGACCUGCUAUGAAGAACUAAGCAUGGUUAUACAAGCACUGAGAUAAACUAAGCACAUUCUAAAAAUAUGUAAAGGUUAAUGGGUAGCAGGUAGCUAGGUCAGAAUCAGGAACAUGUGUAAGAAGGAUAUGUGAUGCAUAUGCUUUCCCCACUGCCCUGAAACCAAGCGCUUAAGAAACGCAAAGAUGAACCAUGAGAGGAUUCGACCAUGGAGAGAACAAUAUAUGCGAUUUUAUUGAGAUUAACUUUUACUAAAAGCUUUGAAGUUGUUGUCAAAGUAUAUCUUAUUCUUCUUGAUUUUUGCUUUAAGGCUCUUCUUUUUGAGUUUUUUUCCAAGGCUUUGUGUUGCAAAGAUUAAGCUAUCCAAAUGUAUCAUCCAGAAAAAUACAUAUAAUUUUUUUGUAAGUGAGUAUAUUUUUAUUGAAAAUUUAUUGAACAGAAUGGCGGG